rnacentral:misc_RNA from 1 species
UCAGAAAUCCAGUUCAACACUUUUGGAGGAAAUCCUGUGUGUUCUGCUGGUGGUCUUGCUGUGCUUAAGGUUCUCGACAAGGAAAAACGUCAAGCACAUUGUGCUGAUCUGGGUUCCCACUUAAUUGAACGGUUGACAAAGCUUCAACAGAAGCACGAAAUCAUAGGAGAUGUGAGAGGCAAGGGAUUAAUGUUGGGGAUAGAACUUGUUACCGAUAGGAAAGAAAAGACACCCGCCAAGGCAGAGAUGCCGGUAUUGUUUGAGAAGCUAAAGGAUCUGGGAGUGCUAGUCGGGAAAGGCGGCCUGCAUGGUAAUGUCUUCAGAAUAAAACCACCAAUGUGCUUCACCAAAGAGGACGCAGAUUUCUUGGUAGAUGCACUGGAUUAUGCCAUCUCAGGAAUUUGAGGCUAAAAACCUGUUG